rnacentral:rRNA from 1 species
UGGUGCGAUCAUACCAGCACUAAUGCACCGGAUUCCAUCGGAACUCCGCAUUUAAGCGUGCUUGGGCGAGAGUAGUACUAGGAUGGAUGACCCCCCGGGAAGUCCUCGUGUUGUACCCCUUU